rnacentral:rRNA from 1 species
GGUUCGGCCCUCGGCAGACGGCUCAGUAACACGUGGAUAAUCUGCCCUUAGGUGGAGGAUAACCUCGGGAAACUGAGGAUAAUACUCCAUAGAUCUAGGAUGCUGGAAUGCACCUAGGUUGAAAGUCCCGACGCCUAAGGAUGAGUCUGCGGACUAUCAGGCUGUAGUCAGGGUAACGACCUGACUAACCUACGACGGAUAUGGGUUGUGAGAGCAAUAACCCAGAGACGAUAUCUGAGACACGAUAUCGGGCCCUACGGGGCGCAGCAGGCGCGAAACCUUCACACUGCGCGAAAGCGCGAUGAGGGAAUCCCAAGUGCUUGCUCGUAAGAGUAAGCUGUUUCUCUGUCUAAAAAGCAGAGAGAGUAAGGGCUGGGUAAGACGGGUGCCAGCCGCCGCGGUAAUACCUGCAGCUCAAGUGGUGGCCGCUAUUAUUGGGCCUAAAACGUUCGUAGCCGGUUUGGUAAAUGCCUGGGUAAAUCGAGCCGCUUAACGGUUCGAAUUCCGGGUAGACUGCCAAACUUGAGACCGGGAGAGGCUAGAGGUACUCCUGGGGUAGAGGUGAAAUUCUGUAAUCCUGGGGGGACCACCAGUGG